AUCUAUACUGCUACUUCUCGCCUCCCUCUCCUCAUUUGGGUUCUCCUUAAAGCACACCUUGAAAAACGCAAUUGUAAAGGGAAGCAAUCCCAGGAAACACCCAUGGAGAGAGGUAAGUAGGUCAAGGAAGGGAAGGAUCCAGUGACAGGUCCCUGACCCUCCUGGGCAUGAGAGCUCAAUCCUACUGAAACACCCAGGAAGACAGAGGAGAACAAGCACUUGGGGAUUACUCCACCCAAGAGAUGGGGAGAUGAGCUACUGGUCCAGAUGGUCCCAUCAGCCCCGGGAGGAGAGUGCUCGAUCCUGAGGGCUAUCCUUGCACCAUUGAGCGGGGAGAAGAGGCUCUGAUGGUCAGGAACAACUCGGAGGCCACGUCAGAGGAUACCCAUCAUGGUCCUUCUGCUCUCUCUGGGCUGCUGGCUGCUCUCUACGUCACAUGCUCCUGACCUAGACCUCAUCGGGCAUCCUUGAGCCCAGCUUCUUCUGUGAUCCUUUUUUGACUUCCUGGACAGAAUCAUUCCCGAAUCAGAGCUGCCACGGGGCUGUUUCUUCCUCUGUGCGUCUGACCCAUAUUACAGCCGUGGUCUCGAACACCUGUCAAUGCACGGCGAGCUUUCCAGGUCAUGCGCCCGCCUGGGAGCAUUCCCCACAGCAGGUGUCUAACAUACGGGCCUUUGGUUGCGGGCGAUCAGAGUCAGACUAACGAGGCUAAAAGAUGGGAUAAGGAACGGUGUUAGAGAGCAGUGCUGUUUCCCAAGUCUGACGCCUGAUCAAGCACUCUUGGGACUAAGGACACGUGACCUCAGUCAUCUUUCAGAACACAUUUCCAAAAAUCGUAAAGUGAAUGAAUACUAGAAUGACCACUUUGUCAUGACCUAAUUCUCGUGUUUUGCCUUAAUGUUAUUUCAAGCACUUCUUGUGGACUUGAUUUACUUGGUUCUUCAAGUGUCCUGGCAGAAAGAGUCUUCUGAAUACAGCACACACAGCAGCAGGUGUCCACAGCAGAACAAAGGGGCCGAGGUGCCGCAGACGGGCUGGCUGGGAUCCAGCCUGGUGAGGGAGCCGGCUGGAGCUGCACAGGGCGGACUCCGUCUUGUGUUUUAAAAUGAUAUAUGAAAACAAAACAAAACUGAAGUAGAUUGGGCAACAAGCAGCCAAAAUGAUUAAUUGACUAGAAUUAGCCCCGUGUGAGAAAAGGUUAAAGGUUAAAAGUAGGAUAUAGUUAUUAAAAACAAAACAAAACAAAAUCAAAGACCCAGGGUGACAUUAACUGUCUAAAAGUAUAUUAAGGGUUGUUUAUGAAAUAAGAAUGCUGAGCAACUGAGCUCUCUCUGAACAAUGCAAAAUGAAAAUGAAAAAUAAAUUUCUCUAAGAAUUUUCUUAGAUCAAAGUUGAAUAUGUUUGGUUACUGAAAUUACUGAUUUGUCCAAUAUACAAAACAUACAUAUUUAGACACACUUCUCCUGACACCUUUCAAGACGGCUCUAAUGGACAGAGGACACAGUUACCCACCUAGGGAAUGGCCCUACGACAACGCACCCAAUGCCUUUCGUAUUUUAGGAGGUGGUGUUUUUUUGUUUGUUUGUUUUUGUUUUUGUUUUAGAGAAGAGGAUUUGGAUCAGGCAUUAGCUUUAUGAAGCCACAGUGAAAUGAAGGACUGAAACCUGACUGAGGUGAUAAAUGAAUGAGCAGGAACCGUGAUGGCGAGAUCCUAAAGCCACGACAGCCUGCAUCGCCUCAUUCGUUGUUUCCUUCUUCGUGGAACUUCUAAGCAGGAUUGCGGGAUUUUGAAGCUGUUUCCAUUGGAACCUCAUAAAUGCAAACGAGUGGUUUCCCGUAACAGUGACCUGUGUAUUUUCUCUCUGCAGGCAUUGAACAGUUCAGGUUUACAUCUGAAGGGAGAGCCCUGUCGAAAGUCAAGAAGUAGGUGGGGGCAGGUAUGUGCUGCGUAUGCAGGAAACUUCGAGAAGAAUAAAUUCCUCCUUCCCAAAUUAUUCUGCCCUGCAGUUAUCUGGACAGUUAGGGAAGGGCAGUGCUAGAAGGCCUGCACACCGGUUUGCAACCUUCUCUUGGUACGAUCUGAAAUCAGCCCCUUAUGUGGAACACGGGAAGAGACUAAAGAAGUAGGCAGAUGGCUCCAGACUGGCAGGUGGAGGGUUCGAGAAGCAACGGGUCUUUCUGACGAGGCUUGUGUUGGGUGCUGAUGAGAUGAGCAGAUUCCCUCACCCGCCCACCAAAUCUUCAGGGUUUAUCUGGAGGCCGUAAUUCGGUUCGGUCAGACACACCAACCAGAGGGGCUCAGCACUCCAUCACUUUCCUGAGGCUGUGCCCUUGGGACAGCUGCAGCAGGCGGGGAGGGUAAGAAGAAUCCAGAUUCCAAGGGCAGGGGAUGGGUGGGAAGCCUCUGACCGGCCUGGUCCAGAUCACGGGAAAGCGGUGGUCACAUCCUCUGGAUGCCCUCCCCUGACACCACAGUAAGGAGCAAGGGUCUGAGCAGAGUGACCACACCGGGGAAAUAGGGUGACCAUACCUACAG